rnacentral:rRNA from 1 species
AGUGAGGGAUAUUGCGCAAUGGGGGAAACCCUGACGCAGCGACGCCGCGUGGGUGAUGAAGGCCUUCGGGUCGUAAAACCCUUUUGCCACUGACGAGGAAGGACGGUAGGUGGCGAAUAAGCCUCGGCUAACUACGUGCCAGCAGCCGCGGUAAAACGUAGGAGGCAAGCGUUAUCCGGAGUUACUGGGCGUAAAGCGCGCGCAGGCGGUUCGUUAAGUGGGGCGUGAAAGCCCCGCGCUAAACGCGGGGAGGACGAACCAUACUGAUGGACUGGAGUGGAGCAGAGGGACAUGGAAUUCCGGGUGUAGCGGUGAAAUGUGCAGAUAUCCGGAGGGACACCAGAGGUGAAAACGGUGUCCUGGGCUCACACUGACGCUGGGGCGCGAAAGCGUGGGGAGCGAACGGGAUUAGAGACCCCGGUAGUCCACGCCGUAAACGAUGCCAACUGGAUGCCUGUGUUCCGAAAGGGGCGUGGGUGUCGGAGCUAACGCGGUAAGUUGGCCGCCUGGGGAGUACGGUCGCAAGGCUAAAACUCAAAGGAAUUGACG